rnacentral:lncRNA from 1 species
GGCAAAACAAAGGAAAGGGACUCACCUAAUGGGAGCCAGGAGGCAGAGCACAGCCCAUUCAGCGCUGCCCUCAUGAUCCAAUCACUUUCUGAAAGCCUCACCUCUGAAAAGAGGAGAUUUUGGAAGACAUUUUAGAGCUAAUGCACAGCAGGUAUGAAGGCCAGCAGCAUAUCACAACCUCUUCAGGACCAGGAAUCCAGACAUCUAGGAAAACAACUUAACAAGAGAAAAGGAAGAACUCCAGGAAUCAAGAAAGAGCAGACAGGAAAACUAGAAUUCACAGAGAAACAGAAGAAAUUAAAGAUAAUUCAGAGUAAGGAACAAAGCAGUCUGGAACACUUACUCCAGCUCCCAAGGAAGAGGUCCUGUCUCCGCAAACACAAGAAAGAGCUUGAAAGGAUACCAAGGGAUACCUCUGCUCUCCUUGGUGGGAUCAAGAAUCAGGUGGGUCUGAAUUCCAAUGCUGGUUCUGCUGCUAACUGAUCAUGUGACAUCAGGAGAACUGUGGAAUAACCUGGGAAAAAUUAGGACACAAGCACUCUUGAAUUCAAAGAUUUUAAUGGAACAUAAU